UACAGAGGGUGCAAGCGUUGUUCGGAAUUAUUGGGCGUAAAGGGCGCGUAGGCGGUUUGACAAGUCUGAUGUGAAAUCUCUGGGCUCAACUCAGAGUCUGCCAUAGAAACUGUAGUGCUGGAGUGUGGGAGAGGUGAGUGGAAUUCCCGGUGUAGCGGUGAAAUGCGUAGAUAUCGGGAGGAUCACCUGUGGCGAAAGCGGCUCACUGGACCACAACUGACGCUGAUGCACGAAAGCUAGGGGAGCAAACAGG
rnacentral:rRNA from 1 species